rnacentral:rRNA from 1 species
UACGUAGGGUGCAAGCGUUGUCCGGAAUUAUUGGGCGUAAAGAGCUCGUAGGCGGUCUGUCGCGUCGAAUGUGAAAACCCGGGGCUCAACCCCGGGCCUGCAUUCGAUACGGGCAGACUAGAGUUCGGUAGGGGAGUCUGGAAUUCCUGGUGUAGCGGUGAAAUGCGCAGAUAUCAGGAGGAACACCAGUGGCGAAGGCGGGACUCUGGGCCGAUACUGACGCUGAGGAGCGAAAGCGUGGGGAGCGAACAGG